GGCGUUUUCUCUACUGGAGUCCCGCAGUGUCCCGACUGUAACUGCCUCCCCUCGCCCUUGCCGCAAGCAGAACUGACGCGGCCCCUGAGCUGGGAAUAACCUCCUCCCUGCCGGGGACUUCGGAGGACAUCACUGAACUGGGAGAAGCUGAUACCCAUGCCCGUUAUCCUUGUGGCCAUUAAUAAUGCAGCGAGGAUCACGAUAAUUAAUAAUAAUAAUGAUGGGCCUCCCGAGGGAGCUCCAGCUGCCUCCGGAUAAAGCGAAUCUCGUGGUGAGAGGGACUUAUUCUGUGGUGAAUGGAGUUGAGCGCGAAGGGAGCAGGCUUCUGUUCACAGAAGUUCAAGUUGACAGCGGUGUGGCAAGCAGAGACACCAGUCCUGACGCCGCAGCGAACCCACAGCGAAGCUCUUGGGCCCUGAGGGAGGCCAGGACCAGCUUCAGCUAUGAGGCUCUGGAGUGAAGGCAAGGGCAGCAUCUUGUUUGAAAACUCACACCAACUCCUGUGGGGGCAGGGCAGCACGGUGGCAAAGAUUCCAGAAAAUUCAGUACUCCUAUUCACUUCCACCUGGCAACAUUAGCCUUUGUAUAAAAUAAUUUUGCUGCAUUCUUUCCUUCAGAGUAGAUGUA
rnacentral:lncRNA from 1 species